AGGACGAACGCUGGCGGCGUGCUUAAUACAUGCAAGUCAACUUGACUUUAGAUAGCAAUAUCGAAAAGUAGGGUGGCGCACGGGUGCGUAACGCGUAGGUAAUCUGCCCUGAGGUCUGACAUAACCCGUCGAAAGGCGGGCUAACAUCAGAUGAUAUAUAAUCACGACAUCGUGGAAAUAUCAAAUCUUCGGAGCCUUGGGAUGAGCCUGCGUCUGAUUAGGUAGUUGGCGGAGUAAUAGCCCACCAAGCCUACGAUCAGUAGCUGGUCUGAGAGGAUGAUCAGCCACACUGGAACUGAGACACGGUCCAGACUCCUACGGGAGGCAGCAGUAAGGAAUAUUGCUCAAUGGGGGGAAACCCUGAAGCAGCAACGCCGCGUGAAGGAUGAAAUACUUUUGUAUGUAAACUUCUGUAAGAUGGGAAAAAUAUUCUCCUCGGGAGAAUUGAUUGUACCAUCAGAGUAAGCCCCGGCUAACUACGUG
rnacentral:rRNA from 1 species